AAUAUAAUUUGUAAAUGCCACAAUAAGGUACUAUUAUAUGCUUAGCACUUGAAGAUAAUAAAUUAAUUAUAAAGCUUAUGUUGAUUUUUUCCUAUUUCGAUAAAUAUGAAAAAUUGAUAAAUUUGGAGAAUCUUCAGAAGGAUUUUUGAAAAUAGUUUUGAUAAGAUAUUUUUGAAGAAAAGUCUUACAGCUACACACUGUACACUGGCAUGAGUCAUGUGCAACCCAGAGAUUUCUUUUUGUCUGACACACCUAUGUUGUUGGCCCAUAGUUCAUUUAAUGAACAGGCAAUUCAACUACAGACAUGAAUAUAGGAUUUGAUUAUCUU